UUGGAGUCACAUGAUAUGAUUAAUAUCUGCUGCAUAAUCAGGACUCACAACACCCUGAUUGCUCCUAUCUGAUUCUUCCUGACAAUCUCUUAAAGAACAAAACAUAUUUCCAAGGACACACAGCUAGCUAUGGUGGAGCUGGGAUUUGAAGGCAGUCCUGCCUUUAACCAUGACACUGUCCUAUGUCCACUUAGAAUCUUUCAAAAAAAAAAAGAACUGCUGCUAACAUGCUCCUAAGAGCACCCAAGGAGCUGCUAAGUGAGUCUUGCCCUCCCCCUACCGCCCUCUGUCUCCUCCCAUGCCAGAAGAUGGAAGACCACAGUGACUGAUCAGAUGGCAGCAGCACCCGCCUGUGACCCAGCAAUCAGAACCAAGUCCCACCACUGCUGCAGGCUCAGCCUGAGCAAAGCGGUCACCAUCCUAUGCCACAAGGAGAACUGCUUCCUGCCUACUUCCUCCUGCUUUAUCUUAAAUCCCCCGAAACUCUGCACCUGUAAAUGCAUCUCAAGACACAUCACCCUUCUGAUUGGGACUCUGAUGUGGUUAGUUACCAUACGCCCUCUGACUGCUUCUUUCUGGUUUUUUUGAUCCAGGUCUGUCUGUGUGGACCCUGUGUCCUGGCUGAACAGCAUUUGUGGGGUCCCUGUGCUUGCUCAGCAUCCCAAAGCCCCUCAUAUUCCUCUGAGCUCUGCUCUUCCUCUAUCCUGUCUGGUCAACCCCACCUCAUGGCUGCUACCCUCAGCAUUCUCUCCCAAGGAUGUCUUAUCUCAGCAUCAAGGGCGUCUGCAGAGCUGCUGGAGGAGGCUCUUUGGAUUACGCAAUCUAACUUCUGAAAGCCCAUUCAAAGGAUGAGAGCAACCGGUGCGUUGAAGCUCUCAAUUUAAACUAGGAAUCCCGUAGUCUAGUCUCUAGACUUAUCUGACCUAGGCAGAAAUCAUCUCCCAGAGGCUUUUCAUGGCUGAUUCUGUGAUAUUUUACUUGCAUUGAAGAUUAUUCCAUGUUUUGAGUUAGUGUGAGUCAUACAGUGCUAUUCUAUUUUCCAAAUAAAUGUUUGUCUUACAGAAGAAACUUUAUACCAUUUUAAUAGGGUUGUUUUACAAGGAAAUUUUACUCAGUUGGUUUUUGGAUUAAAAAUAAAAGAACAGCUUUUAAGAUA